rnacentral:misc_RNA from 1 species
UCAAUCACGUCUCUGCUGCACUUCA